UACAGAGGGUGCAAGCGUUAAUCGGAAUUACUGGGCGUAAAGCGCGCGUAGGUGGCUUAAUAAGUCAGAUGUGAAAGCCCCGGGCUUAACCUGGGAACUGCAUCUGAUACUGUUAGGCUCGAGUAUGGGAGAGGGAAGUAGAAUUUCAGGUGUAGCGGUGAAAUGCGUAGAGAUCUGAAGGAAUACCAAUGGCGAAGGCAGCUUCCUGGCCUAAUACUGACACUGAGGUGCGAAAGCGUGGGUAGCAAACAGG
rnacentral:rRNA from 1 species